GAUAUAUUUAUGUAAUAAGAUUGGAUUUCACCAAAAAAUCUAUUUUUGUUCACAUUUAGUUAUUUUCCUAAUAUAUAUUUGUUUCUGUAUUCAUUUAUUUAUUUUGGGCUUUUAUUUUAUUAAUUGUAUUUUUGUUGUGUGACCUUUGACACUUUGAUGAUGUCACUCCUUAGUUCCUAUCAGGCUCGUGAGCACAGUGAAACAAGUUUAACUGUCAGUAGCGUGCUAAAAUGUGGUGAAAAUGGUGUUUAUGUAGAAAACCGGGUCAUGAGAAGUUGCUGCACGGACAGUAAUGUGUUAUACACAGCUCUUAAGGGAAUAAAUUUGGCCCAGCAGGCAAGCCAGCAGCUGUCCCCAUCUCAUUCCUGUUCCAAGGUAACCUUACAUUGUUAGGAUGUCCUGCUUUCUAGCACAUCACCUACAAUAAUAAACUUAUGUUACUUCCAAAGCCAGCUGAAGCAUAUCAUUGGCUAACUAUUAUGUUGAGGAGUCAUAAGUUAAAUUAGCAGGACUUGGGCAUCUGCUGCAUGGAAGCCAAGAGCUACUAUAUCAGAGUUUAGAAUAACAUAAAUAACUCUGUCCUGCUCUUUAUUUAGUUUGGGGAAGUAAUACUCCAGCAUGCCCUGCCAAACCUGUUACCUGAAAUAACAUCACGUUUGUCAAACACCUUGAUUUAGUUCAUCCUCAGAGCCUUCUCUUUUGUAAAAGUGAAAGUGAAAACAGCUAGGAUGAGCAAGAAUAACAUAUGAUUAAGCUGUUAUUUAAAAUACUGCUCUGUUAUUAUUGUUAUAUAUUUAUCUUCUUCAUGGACCAUCAACUGGUGAGAUCUUAUAUCUUUUAGAACAGUAUCAUAGGCAUAUUUAAUAUCGUUUUAGGAUUCUUGUUUUAAAACCAGUCAUCUGGACACAUAAACAAUCAGUUAGUGUUGGCUAAUUAGCUUGUGCUAGCUAACUAAAGCUGAUAAAAUCUGCUAGCAACAGCCAGUCAAUAUAGUCAACAAAUUAAAUGAGAUUGUGUGCAUGUAAGUUAUUUAUACAAUAAUUAAAAUUUUCUCAGUUCA